AUCUCCACAUCUUCCUUCUUGGGAACCCGGGGACAAAAUGGGAGCGCUUUUUGGCUGGGGAAACUUCUGCUCAGGUGCUUCCUGGUGCUCGAGGAACUAGUCUCACGCUAUGGAUAGGGUGUGUUGCUGGUUGUUUAGCCUGGAGAAGAGGAGGCUGAGGGGAGACCUUAUUGCUCUCUACAACUGCCUGAAAGGAGGUUGUGGAGAGGAGGGAGCUGGGCUCUUCUCCCAAGUGACAGGGGACAGGACAAGGGGGAAUGGCCUGAAGCUCCGUCAGGGGAGGUUCAGGUUGGAUAUCAGAAAAAAAUUCUUCACAGUAAGAGUCAUUGGGCACUGGAACAGCUGCCCAGGGAGGGGGUCGAGUCGCCUUCCCUGGAGGUGUUUAAGGAACGGGUGGAUGAAGUGCUGAGGGACAUGGUUUAGGGAGUGUUAGGAAUGGUUGGACUCGAUGAUCCAAUGGGUCCUUUCCAACCUGGUGAUUCUGUGAUUCUGUGAAACUGGAGGAGUUGGGACAAAGCCUGGGAAAUUCUGCUUUGCCCUUCCCAUGCCCUGUAAAAUGGGGAUACCCUGAGACUUAACCUCUGCAUUGAGCCGCGCGGUGGCAGUUGGUAUUCAGCAGCAUCUGGAAACCUCCAGAGAGCUGGGCCCUGGAGCUGGAAAGCUUUCUGGGUGGCUGUUUUGUGCUAAGGCGUGUACAGGUGUAGCAUGGAUGCUCCUGCACAUGUAUGUUUAGUUACGGAGGUUGUGGAAUUCGGGUGGUCCGAGAACAGCUCAGACCUACACAGUUCUUUUUCUUCUUGAGCUAGUGAGCGAGCUGCUGUCCUCACAGGCUGGAACGGUAGGUUAGAAGCAGCUUCCCAGGAACACAUCAAAGAAAACAAAGCUUGUAUUGGAGAAAAGACUGAUCCGUGUUCGGUGUGGGCUUUUUAAGUGAAACCACUUCAAAUGUAUCCAUGUCUUUUCAUGCUAAAAAAAAAAGAACGGGCAGUUAGCAUCUCCUUGCCAGUUCGAAAUUACGGACUUUGUCCACUGUGUUCUAUUUAUUGCCCAUAGCAAUUUUCUUGGCCUUUAGGAAGUAAGACGGGUAAGCCGAACAUUGCAAUUACUCUGCAAGUUGCCAAGGCGCUUCCUCCACCCUGCUGAAAACUGCUAUGAAGCCUGUGCUAUAGCUAAAUCUUCUUGCGAAAGCCAGGCCAAAUGAUACUUCUAGGCGUGAUGCUACGUCCACCAUACUUAUGUGGAAAGGUCAGCUAUGAAUUUCGUGCCUCAAAGAGAGGCAGGCUGCAGUUAAAGCCGUAUGCAGCUCCAUAUCUUUAUUCCGCAUUCCUCCCAGGUCUGUAUUCCCAGGGUUGUUAAGCAGCUACUAUUCCUGCGUGACAGGAGUAGUUCGCCAAAAACAUUUCCAUGCAAUUAGAGCUGUAAUCUUUUCCUCAUCCAAGCGGGCAUCCUGCAGUUACCAUUCCCUCCAGGUCAGAUCUGGGAGCACCCCCUCCCUUUACGUCUCAUGGAAGAAACAAUCCCUUAUCUCGCGGAGCUCUGCAAGAGCUCUUCCCUGGUUUCUUUGCUGCCCAAAUGUUGAAGGCUACAGACUCCUGUUCAGGGAAAAAGGCAGGAGACCCCGCAGGAGACCCUUCAGACCCCUCCUGAGCCUAGAGAGGAGAGGGCUGAAAGACCAGGGUGGUUGCGAGGAACAUGAGCUGGCUCCAGCUGUUGUCCAAAUCGGAAAGGUGCCUUCAUCCUCAGCCAAAGGCAGCUUGCUCCCCCGCCUGUGGGCCUCAUGCUGUUGAUAACUUCCCGAUGCUGCUUGCAGAAUGCGCGGGGCACAUCUGCUCUGCUUCCUUGGGCGGCUGCAUCAAAGCACGGACUGCCCUGGGAUAAAUUAGUGAGCCAACAGGAGCCUUGGAUGAUCUUUAAGGUUCCUUCAAUCCUGAACCAUUCUACGACUCCAUCAUACCCAAGAAAAGCGAACGUCCACCGAGGACACACCAACCUCUCCAAAACCGCUGCAGCAGCAGAGAGGGCUGUGACAAUAUGCCAAAAAAAAAACAGGGAGAGGGAACUCAUUUUGAAGCCUCAAGGGCUGCCGUGAAAUGGGAUCAUCCUUUGCCAGGGAGCUCCGGUGCCUACGUGCCUUCCAGCAAUUGUGAUGAAUUCUCAUCCCAGCCUGGCACGUGAGUUAUGCGGUGCCACUGAGCAGCAGCUAUUCUCACCUCUAGCCCUGCUGUCACCAUGUGUGCAGCUGGGGUGGGCAAGGACAUGGAGAUUCCAUCAGCCGAUUGAACCCUACGCGGAGCAGGGACACGGUGUGAUGCUCCCCGUCUCGGGUGUUGAGACAGGCCCUCAUCUAUCGGUAUUUUUGUGUGCUUUUCAACUCAAAAUCCGAGGUAUGCAAUCAGCUUUUAGACAGGACUCAGAGAUCUGAGACUGGGAUCCACAAUCUUCUUUGAACGUCAGCCUGUAUCGCAUCAAGACAGAUCAGAAAGCAUCAGGCUGGCUUAGGAGGGCAGCACCCCCCCUUGGCAUAAUCCAUCCUCCGAGCCAUGCAUAUGAAUGCAAAGAGGAAAUGCUAUUUCUAUGGCGACACAUCCUUGAGAGCACCUAAUCUGGAUUUAUUGAGGUCGUAAAACUGACUUAGCACUGCGGUACCUAGACUGCAGGAUAAAUAGAAGCCUUCUAUUUAUAGUACUGUCAAUCCGGCGCCACUCACAAGCACUAAAAAUAAAAGUUUUUUGCAAAGCAAGUUGAAUUAAUGGGUGCUCCUUUUGCAUAGCCUCUGAACCACCCUCCGAACCUGUGGCACGCUACUCGCUGUCAAUAUUGGGCAGAAAUUCUUCCCAAUGUUGCUGAAAAGCCACCUCUUUGGAGAGCUGGGCAGUAGCACCCAGCAGCGGUGGCUCCUCCUUUCCCUUCCAGCCAUGUGCCCGCUUGUGGCUCCUCUGCAAGCCUGGGGCAGGAAUUAUUAGCCUUGAUAAUCAAAUUACAAAAGCAAAACUCAGGAACAGGGGAGUUUGCUGUGCUGGGGCUGCCUUCUGGUCCUCCUGCAUGGAGCUGGAUGGAUUCAGGUUAGUACCAGUCACACCCUCCUCUCCAGCUAAGCUCACAUGAGCUUGUAGUGGAAUAUUUUGCAAGGUGAAUGCUAUGGGAAGCAAUUUAUUAAUUGCUGGGCUGGCAUUCAUGCUGCUGUUCUCCUCACCCCUCUCGGGUCCAGCUUGGUCUUUCUAUAUUAUCACUAUAGGCACCAGGUCCCCUUGCUCUGCUUUCGCUGCCACCACCGAAGCGGAGGGGAUGCGGCAGCAACUGAGGCAGCGCUGACACGGCAGCGCAUCAGAGCCAUACAGCCCCUCCUCGUUAGGCUUCCACAGUCCACCGUGUAGUAAUCAAGGGCUGAGUCCCCCAGGAGAGGGGACCUGGAUUAACUUGUAAAGUGAUCUGUUUAAGCUGUAGAUAAAGCCACCGUAGAUCUUUCCCAGGACUGAAGCGAGCUUUGCCUUUCAACUGUAUUGUCUUUAAUACCAAACGUCGUUUUUUUUACAAUGAAUCUUGCUACUGUUUAACUCGCCCAUGCAAAAUCUUCAUUUCUAGUGGAUACCGCUUAACUUUCCCUUGUUAUCCCACCCAGCAGAGCAGAAGAGUCUUCACUUGAGUUGAAGGCUCAACAUUACUUGAAUACCCCCCCAGUUUUCUUAUUUUCUUUCUUAAGAAAGCAGAGAACUGGAUUUUAUUGCUGUGAACAAGUCUGUAAGGCAGAUACCUGCCGCUGUGAUUUAACAUCUGCCUGGCUUCGCUUGCAAUGUCUUCUGCAUUUAUUAUAUUUUCAAAGCAGAUCAGGAUCUCCUUCCCUGCGGUUUCCAGCUGCUGAGGCCUGUGAACGUCACCCUGUUGGAUCUAGCUGCUCUUACACGGCUCUGCUCUAGAGGCAGGAUGGGGUGCAGGUGCCAAAGCUGGCUCUCCACCAGAUCUCCUCCCAACACGCCUGCCUUCAAGAAGUGACUUAAACAAGAAAAGCAGCUUCUCGUUGACCAGCUGCUAACCAGGGCUGCCAGGAACCCUGCGGUCACUUUGAUGUCCUGCUGCAGACGAGAAGGUGGCAUUCAGCCCACGCCAAAACGCUGUCUUGUUCAUCAGGCUGGCAGGGCUGCGUGGGAACAUCAUCAUCACACCGGAAGCCUUUAUGGCAGAGCUGGCAUGGCUUGAGUUAAGGUGUGGGCAUCAGGCGUGAUGCAACAAGAUGGGAAGCAACAGCCACCGAUGUUCCCCUGAACUCAUGAUCAGGCACUGGAAAAACUUGGUGGCCUGGGGGAGGUCACGGCGGUUGGCAAGGUGGAGAACAAAAGGCAGCCCGCUCAGAGAGUGAGUGAAAAUAAGAACCUGGAGAGCAAGAGGUUGGGGGAACAGCGGCUUCUGUCGGAUGUGGAAACUGAGGCAGAGGUGGGAUGGGAGCAGGUGACUCCUCCAGGUCACCAUCCAAGCAGCAGCUCAGAUGAAUCCCUUCCCGGCAGACAACAAGCUGGACCGAGGAGCUCUCCCUUCCGUGGAGAUGGCUGGGCAUCCAAAUGCACACUCGAGUGGCUGUCUUGUUCCAGCACUGCAAUGGAAGAGAGUGCCCCCAGAGCAUGGCCGAAAGCUGUGUUCCCCAGCAGGUAUGGUUCAGAGCUGUCACACUUGUUGCUGUGCCUUCCCUGAGUGCGUACAUGUGCUGCAAGAGCAGACAUGUGAGAGGGGACAGGCCCUUGGCAGCCAAAGAUGCGGAGCCUAUAGAUUUCCUUCCAUGCUGGAGCUGUGUGCUAGAAGGGAAUGGAGAGGGAGUGCGUUUUUCAACACUUACAAAAGUCCAUGCCAGACGAGACAGCUGGCUUGUAAUAUAUUACCUCUGCUGUCUCUGUGCUCUGAGUCGCCAACUUGGUUCAAGACCCAGGGAAAAGCUGCCAGCGCUGGCAUUGCAUCGGUGGAAUUGCCCUCCUGGAUCUUACUCCUACCUGUAUGAAGUGCACUGAGGGUAUAGGAAAACCUCCUGGUCCAAGUGUAUUUUGAAUUAUGGCUGUUCAUCUUGAAAACCCUUGUACAAAGCAGAGGAAGUUGCUUCAUCUCUGAGAUACCUCAAAUGUUGGCUUUGGGGGCUCUGUUCCACAUCCUGAGAAGACACGCUCUUUUCCUAGUGCAGACUGGUGGAACUUCCCAUAAAGCUUAGACAGACAUCAACCCUUGAAUUCUAAUUGAUUUGGCUUCUGACUCUCAUGUGGCUUCAUCAGACAUUUAAUGCACCAAAGUUUGCCCAGGGCAACUCCUUCCCCGUCUCCAGAAAUUAUUUCCAGUAUUGUCUGACAUCAAGACACAGAUAGGCAGAGCUUGGAAGCCAACCAAGUUAUUGCACCUUCAGAGGGUAGUGAGUGUAACUGAAUCACCGCGGUAGGACGUGGAUGCGCUGUUAGUCUGUGGGAUGUGUGAGGCAGAAACUGUUCUUGAGCCUUCACAUGCAUUGCCUUACAGGGAACACAGCAGUCAUACAUGUCCCAGAAAGCUGAGAGUGAUCAGUGAAGAGCAGUAGGUGAUGCCUGGGAAGGACCCAGUAUCUUCUGAGAUACACGGGUGCUGUUGGGGUGACGGUGGUUUGACAGUAUCCAUUACCAGUGAAGCAUUCCUGGGAAAUUCUCUCUUACUGACAACGCAGAAGGUCUUGCAUUUGCUUGUUCUUGUGCGAAAGCUCCAGUCCUGCAAUGACCAGUGGUGCUUCUGGCCCUGCCUCCUGUCCAAGGGGUGUCUGCAGUGGCCGUGUGUGCUCACACAGUUGAGGGGGAAGACUUGUGCCCGGCAAGUCUAGCAACUCUAUAACUCUCAGCCUGAACAGCUUAUUAUUUUCUAUUGUGCCUAUGGGCUUCGCAAUAUGUACCCAUGAUUAAAUGCUCCUUCAUGAGAUGUCAUUAUUUUAGUGAGGAAUUCUAGUUUUGUUGAAAUCAGGGGUGCUGUUGACUUCUAAGCAGUCAAGAUCCUGCUUCUUUGCUCCCUGAAGGCUUGACUCUCCCAUCUUUGCAAGACAAGGGCUAAUUUACCUGGAAAGAGUAGUCCACGUUAUCGCUUAUCACUGAUAUCACUAGCCAGAGCCAGAUUUGGGUUGACUUUUAGACAAGUUUUUGACCUGUUCUAAUUUGGACCAGGUGAUGCUGGCUCUGCCAGAGAUGUUCUUCACACAAGAAUGCAUCACCAGGCAUUUUUGCCAAAGGAAUGGGAGCCAUUCAUUCCCUUUCCAUUUAUAGACCCAGCUGCAUGCUCAUCUUUUGAAAGCAGAGAGCUCAUUAACGUAGAAUUUUCUUCCCCAAAUGAAGAAGCAUUGCUGACUCCUACACAUUCAGGUACACAGAGGUGCUUCCGCCCACGUCCACAGACUCUGCCGUGGACAGAUGUCCCAUUCCAGACCCAACUCCCUGUAUCCAGCUCCUCUGACCUGCUGGCAGGACUCCUUAGAUGGAAGGACUGAUUUUAAUCGAGGUCCUGGCAUCUAGAGACAUAGGACUAGAAAGAAACCUUCAGGCAAUGGAAGUGUCUGAAUUCAAUGCUUGGCGUGACACUGCUGUACAGACAUGGUCAGACUGCACUCCAAGGCACAGGCAGUGGGGGAAAGGGUCUCCAUCCAUUUUCCUACCUGCUGCCUGCCUCACCCCUUCACACGAGGACUCCUUUUCCUGACACUGGGAUCAACAGCAAGCACAUCCCCUGUGCUGCGGUGCCCCGAGCCUUCGAUAAGUUGCUGCCAAACACCAAUGGAUCCAUCGUGGGGUUAGAGCCGUGUGCGGCAUUGGGGUCCAGGCGAGACUGCAAGGUCACGGAAGAAAAACGCUGCUGCUUCCAGCUUCCCUUAUAAUUAGGUGCUGCAGGCUCAGAAGGUGUGGCUUGCCCGCAGGAAUCGCCUUCCCCGGGUGUGGGUGCUGAGGGACUGAGAGCUCAGGUGCACCUCACGCCCGCUGCAGCGAUUGCUGCCCUGCAGGACCAACCCACUGCCCAGCCAGGCAUGAAGGGAGGAAAAAUGAGCCACAGAAUGCCAAUGCAAAAUCGCUGCUUUGCAAAGGAAUGGCCAUGACACGGCCAUUCAUGCCAAGAGAGGACUUGGGCACGGCAGCCAGGAGUGCUUUGAACAAGCUGAGGUGAUGCCCAGAUCCACACUGGCCAUCUGUUUCCUGCAGGAUACGGUAUCUGUCCAGGGCAAUGAAAACCAGGACCAUAUCAAGCCCUUUGGUUCUGGUUAUCAGCUGGUGACAAGGGCUGGUGGCAGGAGGAAAGCUGGGAUUUAAAAGCUGUGAUCCAAACCCUGCUCUGAUUGUUUCUGGGUCACACACGAGGCCAUGUGAUGCUUUAUUUCAGGAUCUGGCUUUAGAAGUGGCUGAAACCUGAUGAAUUUAUACCUGGGACAGCAAGAGCUCACAGCAGUCACAGCUCCCCAAAUAAACUGGCGUGGCCACAGCCCAGUUUGCCCGUGUGGCUGCUAUGGAUGAUAACAUGCUGGACCAUCAGCCACGCUACAUCGCUGAUCCUGGCUAAAACACAGCCCUCGGGACUGGCAGCAUCCAGUAUUUCUGGUUCCUGCCUUGUGAUUCCGUGCACAGACUGGAGCAAGGCACUGGCUUGGAAAAUCAGCACGGUGCCGAGCAUUUCCUCGCUGUUCCUUACGCAGAAGGUGAACAUGACCCCGUCUUUGACUGACCCUAGAGUGGCCUGUUGACCAGAGCAAUGCUGAGUGAUGCUUCCACCCCGCUCCUGCCGGUGACAUCUUUGCCUGUGAUGUGCUUUGUGUACAGGCUGUGUAUCCACAGGGGAAGCGGCUGACGGAGACGGCUGGAGAGAGAUGUUUCAUUGCGGUGCUCUGCAGGAGCCUCCUAUUAACUCCUGCCGUAACAGCACUCUGGUCACAGCACAUUAAGUAGCGAGGUCACCUGGGUGUCUUCUGACAGGGACCUCGCUGGAGCACAGCCAUCGUGCGGGUGUACACCUUGUAGCUCUGUACCAGCUCAGCUCCGGCGCAGAGAUAAAUUUCAGUUUCAUCUCUCCUCCCAGGGACAGCAUUAACCAUGGACAUCACUCCACCUUGCUUCUUCAUCAGCUGCACUGUUCCAUGGUACGGGGGACCUGCUGGCUGGGAUGUGCAUACGCAGGGACGUCCUCCUCCACUCAUUACCCUCCUGAUGAACUGCCCCAGGUUCCCGUACGGGCUGUGACUUCCUUGGGCAAGUUUUUUUCCAACCUUGAGGGCUUGGAAGUUGACUGCUGAAAGCCUGAGUAAAGUGCAAGUGAGGAAAGCAUCUUUGAAAGUGUUUUGUUGACAGGUUUACCCUGUUUUUGUCAAGCCUGAGGGAGCUGAUGUGCAACUGAAAACAGUUUCAGUUGCUUUUAAGUUCCUUGAGGGCUGCUCUAGGCAGGCACCCUCAGGAAAGCGGAUCUGAAUUAACUUCCAAAUGAGAGUAAUUAAACCAAAUGAAGUCUUUGCUGAGGAAGAGCCCCUGGAUGGAUGAUGCACUCAACUCAGUGUUAAUUGUCCCAGGGCAGUUCUCAUGCUGUGGUGGGGAUGAGAUGAUUUGCUGCUGUCAACAGAAAUGCCUCCCUCCUUUCCAUUUGCCAUAAGGCAGACGCGCGUGCCUGGGACACGCCCUGUCCUUGAGACACGCUCUUCUUUGUGACUCCUACCUGGUCUCACUCAGAAUUACUGGUGCUGGUUUGAUCCAGCUCACCUUGCUUUGAAUCACAGCUGCGUUAAUCCUUCUGCAGCGUAGCAUCACAGAGGUUUAGUGUAAUUUAACUAAUAAGCCACAAAUUUAACAGACGCCAACAUUUCUGGGGCUCUGGUGCAGGACACCUUGCUGUCCAAUGGUCACAGCCACCAGCUGCACUUCACCUGUCUGCACGGGUUGAAAUCUUGGUCCAGCAUCAAAGCUGCCUCUCUGAGGACAUCUGCUAUCGCAUGUCUCUGGACUAGGGGAGAGUUGGUGGUCUCAAAUCCCAAGGGUUGGAGAAAGAAAGACAACAAAGAAAUGCAAAUCCGUGCAAGUUAUGCUGCAGUCGUAUAGCCAAGUCCCUUCAGAGGAGGUCUGUGUCUCCUGUGCAAAACAUCUAAGGGGUCUGCAGGUCGGAAGAAAGCAGGCUUGUAGGGAGGACAAGGUGUUUUGAGGCAGUACUUAGGUUUCCCCCAGGCCCAACCAGCAGCUCAUCCCAUCCCGGUGUCUGCAGUGCAUGAGUUACCUCCUCUGCCUUCACCAUGAGGGCUUUGCCGGGUGUUCAGAAGAUCGCUUCACUGUCAGAAAUUGUAGGGAUUUGCUGACUGUCGCAGUAGAUUUAAGUGGGAAGUGGUUGAACUGUUGCUGCCUGUCUCCCAGGACUGCACGCUGAACACACAGAGACAAACCCUGCCCAUGGCUUGCAAAGCGUUAGGGAGAGUCCGUGUCCCCCUGCGCACCCGAGGCAAGGGCUGCGCGGGUGGGAGCGAGGGGGGGUCUGGAGUCCUGACACUGCAAACUUUGAAGUGUUCAUUUCUUUACUCACCAAAACCAGAAGCCGACUUUGCAAUGUGAGAACUUCACGCAGGGCAGAUCUGCAAGCUGACUCAGAGCGAAGUACUAAAAGGGGCAAGAACUGCAAUUUAGCAACAAUUAUCAAGAAAUACUGAAGUUAAAUAUUCCCUAAUGACAGGGGGAAAGUCGAGCCAAAGCAGCUGUCACGGCUCUUUGACCUGGAAGUCAGAUGCAGCACCUCUCCUUAGGGAUGUUUCUGUGCCUCUGACCAAUUUCUGACCUUUCUCAAAGUCGUUUUCUGUCCGUCACGAGAGAGAAAGGGGCAUUCCCGUGUUUCUCUUCUUCCUCUUGCCUUUGCCACCGUUGCUUUACCUCGUGAGCUGUCACCGUACAUAGUAGAGGUGCUUGCUUGUGUUUCGGUGGUGCACACUGCACCCCAGCCCAGCGGGAUCUCAGACGCAUUGCGUUUUAUCAGUCCUCCGCACACUCGAUGUUCUUGGCCAAGCUGGCCAGUGCAGUGCCCGAGGGGGAGACGGUGUGGGGAAGCCAAAAGCUCCCUGCUUGCUGAGCACUGCCCAUCAAAGGGGGCUUUUCCUCCUAGAUUAACAGCUGCCUUCUUUUAAAGCCUGGAAUUGACUUCUUUUAACAGAAGCCGUGGCUUCAGAGAGUAGCCAGUGGCAGCUGUGGGCCAGAUCCUACUGCAGGAGAGAGCUGAUCCUGUUGAACUGCUUUCCAGAUGCUUCAGCCCAGAUCCUCUGGCCUCAUGAGGACAUAGGAGCAAAUGGCCAAAAACCUUGCAGCUCUGCUACCGACAAUCCAGCUCUGGGAGUCAGGAGCAAGGCUGGUGGGCCGUGUCCUGUUUGCAUUGUCUUGGCUGCGGCAAUGGAGUUGAAAGAGGCUGAGUUUCUCUUCAGUGGGUAAAGACCAAGCCAAUCACAAACCCAUUAGGGGCUCUUGACGAGCCUUCAGGUGUCUGAUGAGAGCAGAUAUGACCGGGACAUGAGGAGGGGUGAAAGCAGUCCCUAAUUCCUGCAUGGCAGCCACAGGCAACCGGGCAUCAUCUCAGGCUCCUUUUGGUGCCACCAUCACUCCCAUGGAUCCGAAAGGAAAGCUUUCAAGAUGCUCCACUUGCAGGGGAGGUCAAAGAGGGGCAGGAGAAAUAACCCGGUGCAUACUUGCUUUGGUUUUGAAGCCUCUGUUUUUUGUGGAGAACUCUCGGUAGACCUCGUCAAGUGGUUUUAUGGAACGGAAAAUGGAUGCAGGCUGGAGGCAAAGUGUUCUUCUUCAGCUCUCCAUUUUCUCAACCAGCCUCUGAAGCCCUCUCCUGAAUAAUUGCAUUGCUGUUUUCUUGGGUUUGUUUAGAGGUACUUUCACUGCUGCUAUUUUUGGGGGGUAUGUGAUAAAAGAGAAGAGGAAGGAAAGGUUUCUUUUUCUGUUCUUUUCUCUUAAAGCCAGAAAUGAGAAAAUGGAAAAUAGAAAAGAACAUGAAAAUGCCCCAAUUCUUUCAAAAUAGCUCCUCACCGAUUUCCACUCUCAAUUACAGACUUCGUGCCUCAGCAAAAAUAAAAAGGUUCAUCUUGCCAAGAUGUCAACUCACCAGGUAGGAAAAAAAUCAUCAAGACCCUCUCCACAGCCUGUGCCUGACCCCAUAAAUUUUAAAGAGCAGCAUCCCAUGGGCUUGGUGGCUGCUACGCUCUUGAGCACGGACACGGGAGAAUUUGCAAUGCCGUAGACGCUUCCCCAUGACCCACUGUCCGCCUGGUCACUGCCGACCCCUCCUCCUGGCACUCCUGCCUGUGUGCAACGCUGGUCUGAAGCCGUUUCAGCCUUACCCACCAAAAGCCUACUGCCACUGCCUGCGGGCUGGACUCGAUUGCUUCAGCAGAGCCUUCCAGCACGAGUCAGAGACAACAGCCUCAGACCCCACCACCCUCUCGUACACCGAUGGCUCUGUGGCAGAUUCAGAGACCUCGAGGAUGCAUUGAGCAACCCUGGGAUAUGCAACGCAGAGUUGCUCCUGCGUGGGAGCUGGGAUCUCUGUUUCGCUGUGGAAGCUGGGUUUCUGUUAGCAUCAUCUCCUCCAGGGUGCAUCAGCUCUGACCAUACCAGACCCUGUGCAGGAUGAAAACAGGUCCAGCAAUGCUGAAUGUGAGGAUCACACCAUAUCAAGUACUACUCAGACAACAAGGGGCUGGAUGAUACCCCCAACGGCUAAGAGUGGUCCUGCUCGCCAGCAGCUCUCACCGGCACAGGCUCCUUCUCCCACCCUAUCCAAAAGAUCGGGGUGAACAAGCCACACUUCCGACACACUCCUUUCAGCCACAGCUCAUCCCCCAUGUCGUGAAAAGGAGCCGGUUUGGAACCGGACCAGACCCAGCCUCCUCGGAGUUGAGGUCGCCUCCAGCUGGGUGCUGCUGACCCUCCCUUGGGGAGGCACUGGCCACCCCUGCACCACGUCACCCCUGAUCCCUGCAUCCCAUGCAGCAGCAGCAGGGAUUAUCCCUCCGCGGUGUCCCACUGUCCGGCUCCGUGAGCUGAGGCACGUUCCUGAGAAGGGCUCAGCCUGAGGACAAGCCAGGGAUGAAUCAGCCCCUCCUGCUCCUGAUUCUCCCUCCCACCAAUGAUCCCAGUGUGGAGGACAGAGGUGGUGGCUGAUGGGUUGAGGAUGAGCAAGGAGGGAAGCUCAUCUCUGUGCGUUGUUUCUGAGAUUUGCACUUUGCUAUGAGUUAAGUCUCUGAGAUGAGAGAGUGAAACGUUCUCUGGAGGUUUAAUUCAGGUCUGCAAGGGGAGGAACGGUGGGGUGGCAGAGCCCCCAACUGCUCCUGAACACCCCACUGCAAAGUUUGCAACCAGUGAGAUAAACUGAUGAGCUGCCGGGGGCACAGGAGCCCGAGGCUUUUGCUGCGUUUCAUCCUGGCUUUGUUGCUGCACACUUCUACCCAAGACAAAGCUCUGGGGCCAAACCUGUGUCUGAUGUCUCUGAUGCUAUAAUUGAGCAGCCCGUGCUUGUAGUUGGUUGGGACGGACCUUACCAGACCCUCUUUUAACAUGGAUUUCCAAACAGCCUCCCACACUCUGUGUUGUUUAAGGGCUUGCACUCCUGUUUUUUCCUCUGAAAAGGAGAAGGAGAGCAUGUGAUGUCGUGUUUGGUUUUGCAGUAUUGAUGCUUUUGGAUUUUCAUAACUCUCCAUCCCAUCUUCAGGACAGUGAUUACAGGUGAAUUAUUACAGCCACAGUCUUUGGCUGCGUCCCUUUGCAGUGAGGUGCUUCAGGAUAGGGCCAAGAUCAGACCUUUGGGAGAGCCGGAUUUUAUCUCCAGCUCUGCUGGUGGCUUGUUGUUUGAUUCGAGGGUGGAAAAACACAGCCUUCUGGGGUUUGGUCCCUUCAGUCACCCUCUGUUUUCCCCAGAUGACUUCCCAAGCUUUACUCAUGCGUGACGCUAGGAAGGAUUUGCAAGCACCUUCUACGUAACUGACUCUUAAAAGAGACAAAAUCACUUCCAGCAGGCAGAGUUAAACGAGUUAAAGACUCCCAGAGAGGGUUAAAAUCACCCGUGUCAUGUAGCAGGACAGUCAAAUCCACAAGGACAUGGUUUCCCAGGGGCCAGAAGGGACUUGCCACCUCCGAUGAGAGAGAGCAGCUGGCAAAGUGCAGAGUCUCUGCAUCACCGCUCAGCCCGUGGGUGCAGACUGGGGACCGUGCUGUGGCUUGCAGGAAAGCCUGGAAGUUCAUUUUUUUUUCUGGAAAACAGAGCUGUGGCUGCACCAAGAAUGUGUGAGUAGAAGGGGCUCCUUAAAUCCUCAGAUUUAAAAAUAAACAAAAAGAUAAACCCCUGAUUCAGGCUCUUGCAAAAUACCCAAAGUGGCGUAAAGCUCACGAGUUACUUUUUUGUUCAAUGUUAAGUACCAGUUUCUUCUCAUCUUUGGUCUGACCCUGCAAGUUCCCUUUUCCUUCUGACACGUGGGAGGGAAGGUGGGGCUCCUCGGCGUGAAAACUCACCCCCAGGAUGUGGAGUUUUUGCAAAACUAUAAAAUACCACAAAGCUCCCAACGAAAUCACCAGCGGUGGCAAUCACGUGGGUGAGCUGCUAUCACUCGUAAGGGAAGGGAAGUCCUGCAAAAGCACGGGACAGGUUCUGCAAAGCCACGUGAAACACAGACAACGGCAUUUGUGCCAUAAAACACCAGCACAGCCCUGAGAGAAACCCCCCAGUCUGCAUCUGCCCAUAAAGAUGUUGCAUUUUACCAAACGACGCUGGAAAUAUUUGCUCCACGAAUCGAUCUCCAGUGCAGUUGGGAAGGAAAGGAUCUUGCUGGAGGUUUUCGGGACAGGAACGCGACAUGAAACGCUUGAAAUGCUGGGAAUGAAAUCUGAGGUUUUAGAUUUUACCUGAAACGCUAACCUUUGAAAUAACUGGCAGCCACAUUAUGGGAUGACCCGGCCUGCCUGCCUGAUGCACAGCGAUAACUGAUAGCAAAUGGUGGUGCCAGACCUUUCACUGCACGUAAUUACAUAUCAGCAAAUACCCUGAAGUGAUUAAUUACCUCCUGACAUGUUUUGGAGCCGAUAUAGGCUCAGGGAAACACACCUCCCCCCUCUUUUCUUUCCUAGGAAGGAGUCUUUGCUGGCUUUGUUUAUAAUGGGGGGUGAUUGAGUCAAUGUUAUGAGUGCAGCAUCAACUGAGAGUUGUGACUGCGUACGGGCUGUGAAGCAGGUGUGACACACGCACAUGUGCACACUCACACCCCUACACAGAGCCGGGAGUGAUGACGGGUGAUGGAGGGGCUACGGGAUGGUCAGGGAUGCGAUUUCCAGUCCCCUGGCACAGUCAGCCUCCAGAGGGGAUGUAAACGUACUUACAAUAAGGGACAACUCUCCGUGGAGAGCCUCUACAGUUAGAGUUAGGCUUAGGGUAGAGUCGUCCUUGCUUAGAGUCGGCCCUGUGGAGAGUUGUCCUGCGGACAAUUGGCUGUGGAGAGGUAUCCGGGACCUCACUUACCACAGGGUGGCACAGGAAUUUCAGCGAAGCCAAAAAAGCUCUAUUGGAAUCAAGAAGAUUUAACCAAGUCCUCUAUAUCUUCCUCCUUUGUAAUUUCGGGAACGGCUGCCACAUGGAUUUUAUGAUGUUUCUGCUGAUGUGGUUCUCGGUGCUGUAACUGUGGAUUUUCCUGCUUUCACUCACGUGUAUUCAAGUUCGCAUUUUUGUCCUCCCGCAUUAAGAACUGACAACCAGCAAAAAUGUGGUUGUGAUUGAUAUCGUUGCGUGGAACCCGUGUCGGUUUGAGAUUCCGCCAAUGUUUUGGUUUGGGUUUUGUGUAGAUUUCUUUUUAAUUCUUCCAGAGUUAGGACUUGCCGGUCCCCUUCACAGAAGUUAGGCUUAACCUGACCACUCCAGACUUAAAAGUGAAUUUUCCACUCUAUCCCACACCAUUCCUGCCUUGCAGAAAUUGCUGCAUCCGGCCUGGCUCAUGGACUUCACGGCAGCCUGGGCAGGCUCUGCAAGGAACCUGGGGUUAAAAUCCCUGCUUUUUCUUCCCCUUUCUCCUGGUGACUGUGAGAGCCACAUCCAAUUGAGCUGAAAGAGAAGCACUGGGGCAAGGAAGGGACUUCCUUCCCUCCUGUCCUCAAGAGCCGGAGUUUGAAUUGUCCCCCUCGAGCUGCUGUAAAUCAUCUUCCAUGCCUUGAUAAUCCCCCAGGAUGUGAGAGCACUCCACAACAAGAGCCUCAGCCAUCGGGUCAACCUGAAAAUCAUCCAGAAUAACAGAGAAACCCCGGAGCAAAUCAUCAGAAAUUUGUGGCAGGUCAAAAAGAGGGUAACAAGGGGCCAAACCUGCAGGGGACAAGAUUUAAAUGACUCGCUGUCUCUGUUGCAGCUUGUACGUGUCCAGAGCUUGUUUGUGAGCAAUUAACGCCGUUGUCUUAAGCAGAGCAGAGGAAAACAUGAAGAAGUAAUUAAUAGUAAUUAAAGGCACGUUAUCUACAGGCAUGCUGUCUGUACCCAUCCUGCACCUUUGCUGCCGACUGCCCUACACCAGCUUGCCCGAGCAAGGGCUGGGAUACGCGGACAGGCUGAGAGAG